UCGAACGUGAAAGCACUUCGGUGUGAGUAGAGUGGCGGACGGGUGAGUAACGCGUGGGAAUCUGCCCAGUAGUGGGGGACAACUACCGGAAACGGUAGCUAAUACCGCAUACGCCCUAUGGGGGAAAGGCUUCGGCCGCUAUUGGAUGAGCCCGCGUCAGAUUAGCUAGUUGGUAGGGUAAAGGCCUACCAAGGCAACGAUCUGUAGCUGGUCUGAGAGGACGAACAGCCACACUGGGACUGAGACACGGCCCAGACUCCUACGGGAGGCAGCAGUGGGGAAUAUUGGACAAUGGGCGAAAGCCUGAUCCAGCAAUGCCGCGUGUGUGAAGAAGGCCUGCGGGUUGUAAAGCACUUUCAGUUGGGAAGAUGAUGACGUUACCAACAGAAGAAGCACCGGCUAAAUCCGUGCCAGCAGCCGCGGUAAUACGGAUGGUGCGAGCGUUAAUCGGAAUUACUGGGCGUAAAGCGCGCGUAGGCGGCUAAGUCAGUCAGAAGUGAAAGCCCCGGGCUCAACCUGGGAAUUGCUUUUGAUACUGCUUGGCUAGAGUUUGGUAGAGGAUAGUGGAAUUCCAGGUGUAGCGGUGAAAUGCGUAGAUAUCUGGAGGAACAUCAGUGGCGAAGGCGACUGUCUGGACCAAAACUGACGCUGAGGUGCGAAAGCGUGGGUAGCAAACAGGAUUAGAUACCCUGGUAGUCCACGCCGUAAACGAUGUCAACUAGCCGUCGGGUCUAUUUACAGACUUGGUGGCGCAGCUAACGCGAUAAGUUGACCGCCUGGGGAGUACGG
rnacentral:rRNA from 1 species